CCCUUAGAUGUUCUGGGCAGCACGCGCGCUACAAUGGUCUUCGCAAACGGAUGCAUUCUCGAAGGAGAAUGCCAAUCUUGGAAUCUAUGCCUUGGUCGGGACAGUUGCUUGCAAUUUUUCGACUCGAACCAGGAAUUCCUUGUAAUCGUGAUUCAUCACAUCACGAUGAAUACGUCCCUGCCCUUUGUACACACCGCCCGUCGCUCCUACCGAUCGAAGAGUUAGGUGAAUUGUUUUGAUCGAUAAGAUUUGACUAUGGUCAACUCUCGUUGUGAAAUUCUGUGAAUCUGACUGUUUAGAGGAAGGAAAAGUCGUAACA
rnacentral:rRNA from 1 species